AUUGAACGCUGGCGGCAGGCCUAACACAUGCAAGUCGAGCGAGCGGCGGACGGGUGAGUAAUGUCUGGGAAACUGCCUGAUGGAGGGGGAUAACUACUGGAAACGGUAGCUAAUACCGCAUACCAUCAGAUGUGCCCAGAUGGGAUUAGCUAGUAGGUGGGGUAACGGCUCACCUAGGCGACGAUCCCUAGCUGGUCUGAGAGGAUGACCAGCCACCCUGUAACUGAGACACGUUCCAGCCUCCUCCGGGAGUCAGCAGUGGGGAAUAUUGCACAAUGGGCGCAAGCCUGAUGCAGCCAUGCCGCGUGUGUUAAGAAGGCCUUCGGGUUGUAAAGCACUUUCAGCGGGGAGGCGUUACCCGCAGAAGAAGCACCGGCUAACUCCUUGCCAGCAGCCUCUGUAAUAC
rnacentral:rRNA from 1 species